UGCUGAGUCUAAAGUACACAUUCAGAAGUCUUAGCUUGUAUGUUAAACUUGAACGCAAGUUAUCUGUAAUUGUAUGGAAGGGAAUGUAAUGGUGGAUCAUUAGACGCUAUAGAAAUAGGGCAGCUGUUACUUGAUAAUAGGCUUGUAUGUGGAGGGAGACAAGGACUGGCAACCAAGUUGCAUGUGAACACACAAGAUAGCGUUUGAAGCUGGAACUAAAAUUGUCUUUUUAUAGUUGAAUUCAUAAUGGUGUUCUACAUUAUUUUUCUAGAAAUAAUGGUUAUUGUGUAAUUAUUUGCCAAUUUUUAAUGGAUGUGAAUUAUCUUUCAGGAUGGAGAAUAUAGCGUAGUGCCAGGCACCUGCAUUGAUCUUGAGGGCAUUAUUGAUUCUCUGCAGAAUGAUGUCAUUGAUAUUAAAAAGCAGGCAGAAGCAGCACAUAGGUACAUUGUGUCCCUAGAGGACCCACAGGAAGCUGUAGGUUGGCUUGAAAACCAACUGGGAAAAAUUACCACUGAACUAACGAAGACCAAAGAAGAACUGACAAAGAAAACCACUGAACUAACCAAAGCCGAAGAAGCUGACACAGAAAAACAGGGACCUUGAAAUGCAGAUGACUAAACUGGAUGAGUCUGCUGAGCAACUUAAAAAAGCAACUGAGAAAAUGAAUACACAGAAUACAAGGAUUCAAGAACUAAUGGACAUUGUGGGGCAAAAGGAUGAUGUUAUUACAAGGCUACAAGAUUUAAUAUCCCAUUUAGAAGAAACUGUAAAAGACUAUG